CUUUUGAGUAAAAAGGCUCAAAUUUAACUUGAAGACGAGAAGACCCUAUAGAGUUUAAUAUUACUUAGUUUAUUAUAUUUUUGGUAUUUANUUUUUGGUAGAUAAAGUUUUAUUUGGUUGGGGUGACUAGAAGAAUAAUUAAACUCUUCUUUAAUUUUUAUCAAUGAUUUUUGAGUAUAUAAUCUGGUAUUUCCAAAUUUAAUAUAAAUUACCUUAGGGAUAACAGCGUAAUUUUCUUUUAGAGUUCUUAUUGNAAAGGAAGUUUGCGACCUCGAUGUUGGAUUAAAAUUUAUUUCUNGUGCAGAAGCUUGAAUAUUGAGUCUGUUCGACUCUUAAAAUUUUACGUGAUCUGAGUUC
rnacentral:rRNA from 1 species